AAUGAUCUAUCUAUAUUACACUAACCAUCUCACGAAGUUCCGUUAAGUUUUUUGUGAUUGAAGUUUUCAAGUUUUGGGUGAGAUAUUGAUAUGAGGAGAAUAAGGAGCAGCAAGAACCUAAUACUGGGGAUGCCAAAGGCAGCCCUAAGGUAAUAUAGAAGGAAUACUAAAUCAUCUAAGCUUGGGGAUGCCCCGGAAGGUAUCCCCUCUUUCCUCUUCAACAUUAUCGGUAUAUCUUACUUGUGGCUAUAUUUUUAUUCGUCACAUGAUAUGUGUUUUGCUUGGAGCAUAAUUUUAUAUUGUUGUUAUGUGGUACAUAUUAUUUAUAAUCUUGUUUUUCAAUAAUAAGUUCCAAGAAUUGCCUUUAGAAUGCUUGAAUUGCGUGUGUGAUAUGUGUUGUACAAUUACUGGAACCUGUAAAGUUUAUGAAAUUUUUAUUGUAGUAUUUGAAUUAUGAUAUUUUACUGGAACCUGUAAAGUUUAUGAAAUUUUUACACAAUACGGUAAUAUUUUUUUAUCAUGUCCUAAAUUUUCAGAAUUUUUGGAGUUACAUAAGUACACUUUUUAAAUAGAUUGCUACAGACUAUCCUGUUUGGAUAAAUUGUUGUCAUAGUUUUGUUAUCUAAUUAUCCUAGAGUUUUCGUGCUUAUAUUGGUAGAUAUAAAUUGUGGAAACGAUAGUAUAUAGUACCUACUGUUCUAAAAUAAUCAAGCAACUUGUCUUGGCAGUACAUGAAGUUUUGAUUUAUUCUUAUGUGUAAUAACCUAUCUCAUGAGUUCUCUUCAUGUUUUGUGUCGAUGAAGUUUUUGAGACUUAGGUGAAACCGGGAUAUGAGGGGAUUGAACAAGAUAUGAAAGCUCAAGCUUGGGGAUGCUACACAUCCCACCUCUCUUCAUGAACAAAUAUCAGUUAGCCUAUGCUGAACCUAAGUUUUUAUUUGUCCACAUGAUAUGUGCUAUUCUUGCAGUGUGUUUUGUUUUAUUUGUUAUUUUAAAUAAAUCUCAGAUCUGAAAAUCUUUAUUAAGAGUGAGUCCUCACAUAGGUACUUAAUUGUUAGACUACUCAUCAAUCUUGACUUACAUUCUUUGAGAGUAGUUUGAUCGUUACUCUUGUGCUUCACUUAUAUCCAAAGAGUAAAUUGUGAACGAAUGAAAUAUCAUAAACCUGAAAGUAUCAAUGUG
rnacentral:lncRNA from 1 species